GGGCUGCUGCUGGACGCGGUCGGCCAGGCGGUCCGUGACGCGGGCCUCGACGAGAGCGAUCUGAGCGGGGUGCCGGUCCUGAUCGGCACCGGUCUGC
rnacentral:tRNA from 1 species